CAAUGAGGAAACAUUUCCUUUGUUACUUCCUUCCUUGGUGAUUGCCUGUCUUCUUCACCAAUAUACUAGAGUUACAGAAUGUGGUGAUAAGUACUUUACAAUGGGAUUAAAUAUGGCAACAUGGCUAGAUCUGCACAAAUCUGGAACUCUCAUUCUGUUUGUGCUAUAGAGUCACUUUGCUGCUCUUACAUUUGCCCCAGGAACACUUUGCACAUGUUGCCAUUGUCCUAUUUAUCUCCUCCCAUUAUUGGUUGCCUACACACAGUGGGCUGAGCCCUUGAUGGCUGUAUUGUGACUAGGUCAUGGGCUGAAUUUGAACUGAAACUCUCAGUGACGCGGAAUUAUUAUUUGAAGAAGCUGUCUGAAGUGACUUUCUAAGCAAAGACUUCAUUUGGAUUCCAAGGACCUGGGAUGCCAAACGUCAGCAAGUGAAAUGUGCCUCCAUGAUACUAAUUCCUGAUCAUCACCAGAGGACCAGUUGCACAAUGCAUGAAAAAACAUCAUUAUGAGUGGCUAUAAUGAUAGUAGAAAGAUCAUCCUACUAGGAAUGAGGAUAUUCUGUUUAGUUACAGCCUUUAAAAAAGCAGUGUAAACCUGAGACUUUGCAACUGGCAAGCAUUCUGGACCACAACAUCCCACAAUGCACUGGUGAUAACUUUCCUCCCAGACAGAUAUCAGCUAACCACAGUGUACAAUCAGCUGCCCACAUUGGAAGACACAAAUCAGAAAACCACUGUUCCAUAAUCACAGAAUUGAAAGAACUGCAUACGUAAAAUGACAGGCUAUUAAUUCUGGUUUGGAA